ACCGGUUGAUUCUGCCGGAGUCAGCUGCUAUUGGAGUUGUACUAAGUCAUGCAAGUUAACGCACCGCCUAUGUUGGUGCGUGGCGAAAAGGUGAGUAACGCGUAGUGAAUCUGCCCUCAGCUGGCGUCUAACCAGGGGAAACUCUGGCUAACCCGCUAUAAUCCCCCUAUGUUGGAAUACUUGGGGGACAAAAGGAGUGCGAGCAUGGUCGCACACGACUGAAGACGACACUGCGUCCAAUUAGGUAGUAGGUGGGGUAACGGCCCACCUAGCCGAGGAUUGGUAUCGGUUGUUAGCGCAAGGACCGACACUUGGAUUCUGAGACAACAAUCCAGGGGCUAUGGCUUGCAGCAGGCGAGAAAACUGGGCAAUGCACGCAAGUGUGACCCGGCAACUCCAAGUCCCAGGGGCAACUCUGGGUUUUAAUCAGUCUGAACCACUGGUUGAAUAAGGAGAGGGCAAGAACGGUGCCAGCCGCCGCGGUAAAACCGUCUCUUCGAGUGGCUGACGCGAUUAUUGGGCCUAAAGCAUCCGUAGGCGGACCGGUCCGUCCCAGAUUAAAGCCAGCGUCUCAAGCGUUUGAACUGUCUGGGAAACUGCCGGUCUUGGCAAUGGGAGAGGUGAGCGGUACUCAAGGAGUAGGGGUGAAAUCCUAUAAUCCUUUGGGGACCACCGAUGGCGAAGGCAGCUCACUGGAACAUGUGCGACGCUGAUGGAUGAAAGCCAGGGGAGCGAGUCGGAUUAGAUACCCGGGUAGUCCUGGCCGUAAACGAUGCGGACUAAGUGUAGAAGAGUCCUGAGGCUCUUCUGUGCCGAAGCGAAGGCGUUAAGUCCGCCGCCUGGGAAGUACGGUCGCAAGACUGAAACUUAAAGAAAUUGGCGGGAGAGCGCCACAACCGGUGGAGCCUGCGGUUUAAUUGGACCCAGCGCCGGAAACCUCACCAGAGCCGACAGCAUUAUGAUAGUCAGUCUAAAGGGCUUACUUGAAGCGCUGAGCGGAGGUGCAUGGCCGUCGACAGUUCGUGCCGUGAGGUGUCGUGUUAAGUCACGCAACGAACGAGACCUCUGCCGUUAGUUGCUAGCGAGCCCUGCGGGGUGUCGAGGACACUAACGGGACUGCCAGUGCUAAACUGGAGGAAGGUGGAGGCUACGGCAGGUCAGUAUGCCCCUAAUGCUCUGGGCCACACGCGGGCUACAAUGGAUAGGACAAUGGGCCCCUACUCUGAAAAGAGACGGAAAUCUCGAAACCUAUCCGCAGUCGGGAUUGCGGGUUGCAACCCACCCCCAUGAACUUGGAAUCGGUAGUAAUCGCGUUUCAUCAUAACGCGGUGAAUACGUCCCCUCUCUUUGCACACACCGCCCGUCGCAGCACGGAAGUUGGGGAUGGAUGAGGCCGUAACUUAGGUGUUAUGGUCGAGUCUGGCCUCGAUGACUGGGCUGAAGUCGUAACAAGGUA
rnacentral:rRNA from 1 species